rnacentral:tRNA from 1 species
GCGGUUAUGGCGGAAUUGGCAGACGCGCUAGAUUUAGGUUCUAGUGGGGGAUCCCGUGCAGGUUCAAGUCCUGUUAACCGCA